GGGCCCAUAGCUCAGUUGGUUAGAGCAUCCGACUCAUAAUCGGCAGGUCCCAGGUUCGAGUCCUGGUGGGCCCACCA
rnacentral:tRNA from 1 species